rnacentral:rRNA from 1 species
GACGAACGCUGGCGGCGUGCUUAACACAUGCAAGUCGAACGGAAAGGCCUGCUUUCCCUUGUGGAUUGCGGGUGCUCGAGUGGCGAACGGGUGAGUAACACGUGAGUGAUCUGCCCCCAACUUGGGUAUAAGCCUGGGAAACUGGGUCUAAUUCCCGAUAGGACUGCAGGGUGGUGCCUGUGGUGGAAAACGAUUUUCUAGUGGUUGGGGAUGAGCUCGCGGCCUAUCAGCUUGUUGGUGGGGUAAUGGCCUACCAAGGCGGCGACGGGUAGCCGGCCUGAGAGGGUGGACGGCCACAUUGGGAUUGAGAUACGGCCCAGACUCCUACGGGAGGCAGCAGUGGGGAAUAUUGCACAAUGGGCGGAAGCCUGAUGCAGCGACGCCGCGUGGGGGAUGACGGCCUUCGGGUUGUAAACUCCUUUCGACCGCGAGGAAGCCGCCUGGUUGGAAGGGUGGUGACGGUAGUGGUAGAAGAAGCACCGGCUAACUACGUG